UUCACACUGUCAAGAAAAGCUUCUAUCGAGUUUAAAGGCGCCCGUACCGUAAACCGACACAGGUGGGUGAGGAGAGUAUCCUAAGGCCAGCGAGAGAACUAUUGUUAAGGAACUCGGCAAAAUGACCCCGUAACUUAGGGGGAAGGGGUGCCUGUCUAUGACAGGCCGCAGAGAAUAGGCCCAAGCGACUGUUUACCAAAAACACAGGCUUCUGCUAAGUCGCAAGACGAUGUAUAGGAGCUGACGCCUGCCCGGUGCUGGAAGGUUAAGGGGAUCUGUUAGAGCAAUCGAAGCAGUGAACUUAAGCCCCAGUAACGGCGGCCGUAACAAUAACGGUCCUAAGGUAGCGAAAUUCCUUGUCGGGUAAGUUCCGACCCGCACGAAAGGCGUAACGAUUUGGGCACUGUCUCAACAAUAGACUCGGUGAAAUUGUAAUCCCGGUGGAGAUGCCGGGUACCUGCGACAGGACGGAAAGACCCCAUGGAGCUUUACUGUAGCUUGACGUUGGGUCUUGGUACUACAUGUACAGGAUAGGUGGGAGACUAUGAAGCAUGGACGCCAGUCUGUGUGGAGUCAUCCUUGGGAUACCACCCUUGUAGUACUGGGAUCCUAACCAUAGGCCUUGAAUCAGGUCUUGGAACACCGUCAGGUGGGCAGUUUGACUGGGGCGGUCGCCUCCUAAAAAGUAACGGAGGCGCUCAAAGGUUUCCUCAGCACGGUCGGAAAUCGUGCGAAGAGUGUAAAGGCAAAAGGAAGCUUGAUUGCAAGACAUACAGGUCGAGCAAGGACGAAAGUCGGACUUAGUGAUCCGGUGGUACCGCAUGGAAGGGCCAUCGCUCAACGGAUAAAAGCUACCCUGGGGAUAACAGGCUUAUCUCCCCCAAGAGUCCACAUCGACGGGGAGGUUUGGCACCUCGAUGUCGGCUCAUCACAUCCUGGGGCUGUAGUAGGUCCCAAGGGUUGGGCUGUUCGCCCAUUAAAGUGGUACGCGAGCUGGGUUCAGAACGUCGUGAGACAGUUCGGUCCCUAUCCGUCGCAGGCGUAGGAAAUUUGAGAAGACCUGUCCUUAGUACGAGAGGACCGGGAUGGACGUACCUCUGGUGUACCAGUUGUUCUGCCAAGGGCAUGGCUGGGUAGCUAUGUACGGAAUGGAUAAGCGCUGAAAGCAUCUAAGCGCGAAGCCAACUUCAAGAUAAGGUUUCCCACCGUAAGGGUAAGACCCCAGGAAGACUACCUGGUUGAUAGGUCGAAGGUGUAAGUGCAGUAAUGUAUUUAGCUUAUCGAUACUAAUAGGUCGAGGACUUGACCU
rnacentral:rRNA from 1 species